AAGAAACAACCAACCAAAUCAAAAAAUGGCCAAAGAACAUGAACAGACAGUUCUCAAAAGAAGACAUUUAGUGGCUAACAAACAUGAGAAAAAGGCUCAACAUCACUGAUCAUUAAAGAAAUGCAAAUCGAAACCACAAUGAGAUGACAUCUGAUGCCAUUCAGAAUGAUGAUUAUUAAAAAGUCAAGAAACAACAGAUGCUGAAGAAUGUGGAUACAUAAAGGGUCUGAGAAAUGAGGAGCCAUGGAAAAAUAACAUGAAGUGUCAAAGAGAUCAAAUAGUGUUCCUCUACUUUUCAGAUUUGUGUGAGGACUAGAGGGGGCAUAAUAAUUAGUAUGAGUCACAUGAAAAAUAUAAAAAUGAAAUAUUCUAAAAAUAAAA
rnacentral:lncRNA from 10 species